rnacentral:rRNA from 1 species
CAGUAGCCCGGUAAUACGUAUGGUGCGAGCGUUAAUCGGAAUUACUGGGCGUAAAGCGUGCGCAGGCGGUUAUAUAAGACAGAUGUGAAAUCCCCGGGCUCAACCUGGGACCUGCAUUUGUGACUGUAUAGCUAGAGUACGGUAGAGGGGGAUGGAAUUCCGCGUGUAGCAGUGAAAUGCGUAGAUAUGCGGAGGAACACCGAUGGCGAAGGCAAUCCCCUGGACCUGUACUGGCGCUCAUGCACGAAAGCGUGGGGAGCAAACAGGAUUAGAUACCCCUGUAGUCCCUGUCUCUUAUACC